rnacentral:rRNA from 1 species
UACGUAGGGGGCGAGCGUUGUCCGGAUUUACUGGGCGUAAAACGCUUGUAGGCGGCCACGCCAAGUCGGACGUGAAAUCUCCCGGCUUAACUGGGAGGGGUCGUUCGAUACUGGCGGGCUCGAGGCAGGUAGGGGGAAGCGGAAUUCCCGGUGUAGUGGUGGAAUGCGUAGAUAUCGGGAGGACCACCAGUGGCGAAGGCGGCUUCCUGGACCUGUUCUGACGCUGAGGAGCGAAAGCGUGGGGAGCGAUCCGG